rnacentral:rRNA from 1 species
GACGAACGCUGGCGGCGUGCCUAAUACAUGCAAGUCGAACGCUUCUUUCUCACCGAGUGCUUGCACUCAUCGAGAAAGAGGAGUGGCGGACGGGUGAGUAACACGUGGGUAACCUGCCCAUCAGAAGGGGAUAACACUUGGAAACAGGUGCUAAUACCGUAUAACAAUCGGAACCGCAUGGUUCUGGUUUGAAAGGCGCUUUCGGGUGCCGCUGAUGGAUGGACCCGCGGUGCAUUAGCUAGUUGGUGAGGUAACGGCUCACCAAGGCAACGAUGCAUAGCCGACCUGAGAGGGUGAUCGGCCACACUGGGACUGAGACACGGCCCAGACUCCUACGGGAGGCAGCAGUAGGGAAUCUUCGGCAAUGGACGAAAGUCUGACCGAGCAACGCCGCGUGAGUGAAGAAGGUUUUCGGAUCGUAAAACUCUGUUGUUAGAGAAGAAUAAGGGUGAGAGUAACUGUUCACCCCUUGACGGUAUCUAACCAGAAAGCCACGGCUAACUACGUGCCAGCCGCCGC